UACGAAGGGGGCUAGCGUUGCUCGGAAUCACUGGGCGUAAAGGGCGCGUAGGCGGACUUUUAAGUCGGAGGUGAAAGCCCAGGGCUCAACCCUGGAAUUGCCUUCGAUACUGGGAGUCUUGAGUUCGGAAGAGGUUGGUGGAACUGCGAGUGUAGAGGUGAAAUUCGUAGAUAUUCGCAAGAACACCGGUGGCGAAGGCGGCCAACUGGUCCGAAACUGACGCUGAGGCGCGAAAGCGUGGGGAGCGAACAGG
rnacentral:rRNA from 1 species